rnacentral:rRNA from 1 species
GACGAGGGGUCCUAGCGUUGUUCGGAAUCAUUGGGCGUAAAGCGUAUGUAGGCGGCUUAAACAGUCAGGUGUGAAAGCCCUGGGCUCAACCUAGGAAGUGCACUUGAUACUAUUAGCUAGAGUAUUGGAGAGGGCAGUGGAAUUCCUGGUGUAGUGGUGAAAUACGUAGAUAUCAGGAGGAACACCGGUGGCGAAGGCGGCUGCCUGGCCAAAUACUGACGCUGAGAUACGAAAGCGUGGGUAGCAAACAGG